rnacentral:rRNA from 1 species
UCCGUAGGUGAACCUGCGGAAGGAUCAUUAAAUAAUCAAUAAUCUUGGCUUGUCCAUUAUUAUCUAUUUACUGUGAACUGUAUUAUUAUUUGACAUUUGAGGGAUGUUCCAAUGUUAUAAGGAUAGACAUUGGAAAUGUUAACCGAGUCAUAAUCAGGUUUAGGCCUGGUAUCCUAUUAUUAUUUACCAAAUGAAUUCAGAAUUAAUAUUGUAACAUAGACCUAAAAAAUCUAUAAAACAACUUUUAACAACGGAUCUCUUGGUUCUCGCAUCGAUGAAGAACGUAGCAAAGUGCGAUAACUAGUGUGAAUUGCAUAUUCAGUGAAUCAUCGAGUCUUUGAACGCAACUUGCGCUCAUUGGUAUUCCAAUGAGCACGCCUGUUUCAGUAUCAAAACAAACCCUCUAUCCAACUUUUGUUGUAUAGGAUUAUUGGGGGCCUCUCGAUCUGUAUAGAUCUUGAAAUCCCUGAAAUUUACUAAGGCCUGAACUUGUUUAAAUGCCUGAACUUUUUUUUAAUAUAAAGGAAAGCUCUUGUAAUUGACUUUGAUGGGGCCUCCCAAAUAAAUCUCUUUUAAAUUUGAUCUGAAAUCAGGCGGGAUUACCCGCUGAACUUAAGCAUAUCAAUAAGCGGAGGA